rnacentral:rRNA from 1 species
UACGUAGGGGGCGAGCGUUGUCCGGAUUUAUUGGGCGUAAAGAGCGUGUAGGCGGUUCGGUAAGUCUGUCGUGAAAUCCUGAGGCUCAACCUUGGACGUGCGAUGGAUACUGCCGGGCUAGAGGAUGGUAGAGGCGAGUGGAAUUCCCGGUGUAGCGGUGAAAUGCGCAGAUAUCGGGAGGAACACCAGUAGCGAAGGCGGCUCGCUGGGCCAUUCCUGACGCUGAGACGCGAAAGCUAGGGGAGCGAACAGG